rnacentral:rRNA from 1 species
CUACGGGCUGCUGCAGUGGGGAAUAUUGCACAAUGGGCGCAAGCCUGAUGCAGCAACGCCGCGUGAGGGAUGAAGGCCUUCGGGUUGUAAACCUCUUUUAGCAGGGAAGAAGCGAAAGUGACGGUACCUGCAGAAAAAGCACCGGCUAACUACGUGCCAGCAGCCGCGGUAAUACGUAGGGUGCAAGCGUUGUCCGGAAUUAUUGGGCGUAAAGAGCUCGUAGGCGGUUUGUCACGUCUGCUGUGAAGAUCCAAGGCUCAACCUUGGACUUGCAGUGGGUACGGGCAGGCUAGAGUGCGGUAGGGGAGAUGGGAAUUCCUGGUGUAGCGGUGGAAUGCGCAGAUAUCAGGAGGAACACCAAUGGCGAAGGCACAUCUCUGGGCCGUAACUGACGCUGAGGAGCGAAAGCGUGGGGGGCGAACAGGAUUAGAUACCCGCGUAGUC